rnacentral:rRNA from 1 species
AGAGCGAACGCUGGCGGCAGGCCUAACACAUGCAAGUCGAGCGCCCAGCAAUGGGAGCGGCAGACGGGAUAGUAACACGUGGGAACGUACCUUUCAGUUCGGAACAACCCAGGGAAACUUGGGCUAAUACCGAAUACGCCCGUAAGGGGAAAGAUUUAUCGCUGAAAGAUCGGCCCGCGUCUGAUUAGCUAGUUGGUGGGGUAAUGGCCCACCAAGGCGACGAUCAGUAGCUGGUCUGAGAGGAUGAUCAGCAUCACUGGGACUGAGACACGGCCCAGACUCCUACGGGAGGCAGCAGUGGGGAAUAUUGGACAAUGGGCGCAAGCCUGAUCCAGCCAUGCCGCGUGGAUGAUGAAGGCCCUAGGGUUGUAAAGUCCUUUCGGCGGGGAAGAUAAUGACGGUACCCGCAGAAGAAGCCCGGCUAACUUCGUGCCAGCAGCCGC